GAGUACGGGGUAUCAGAAACUUGGGUACAAGAAGUCGAGGAAAGGUUUAGAACUUACAGGCAAUGGGACAUCAAGGAAAGAGUGAAGUUCCUUUUGUCAAAAAUAAAGGGAGGAAAUUAUGAAUCAUGGAUUUUCUUGUGUCCAUAGGUAGGGUGCUCAAGAUAUAAAGCUGAUACCUCAUAGAUGAAAUUGGACUAAAUACAAAAAUAGAGCAUUUUGCCUUUACAAAUUCUGCAGUUCGGAUACAAUUACAAACUAUCCCAUAUAUGGAUCCCUGAUUUAUGGUUCAGUGAUGUGUUAACUCGGAUUUUAAGAAGCUCAUCCAUUACAGAUGGCAUGAUCUCGGAAAUGGAACUUUUGAAUGAGAGGAUGCAUAACAAACAUGCACACACACAAAACGAAGUAGACCAUCCAAAUGAAACAUGAUGUCAAAGAGACAAUUAUACCAGGGUCAUCAAAAAAGCAACCAAUUCCAGUAGCAGAGAUCCCAACUGCAUGGGCUUCAAGGUACAAGACCUGGCCAAGGACCCCCGUCUCCCAAAAUAACCGAGGAUACAUCCAUGAACCUUUUUCAUGCAAGGUAGGCUCCAAAUGAGCCACCAUACCCAGACUGAAGCAACCAUCACUGGCAAUGUCCUGUAAUUAGAUAUAAUUAGAUAGUCAUGUUUGAGAAGUCCAUUAAAUAGAUCCUCUGAAUCAGGAUGAUAAGUCGACUCUAUGCAAGUAGCCCCAAAAUUCUAACACAAGCAGUCUAUCUCAACCUUCCUGCUUUACAGAAACAUAAACAACUAAAUUUACAGCCACUGCUUGUGGCGCAGAGUCAAAGUAGCAGUUAUGCCAAAACAUAAUCUCCGUGGGGCAGCUUAUAUUCAAUGUGUCUGGGAAGAAGUCAAAUUGUUAUCUAUUAUAGAAUUCACAAAGCCAUAUAGUCUUAUUGCUAUGACAAUUAAUGCUGAAAACCUUUGUCAAAAUUACUAACUGUGCUGAACAUUUACUGUAACUUUUCUAUGAUAACAUUUUCCAGUGCCAUAAAAAAGAAAAGAUGCAAGGUGAAUGUCCAAAAGGGCAUGUGCCUGAAAAAAAAUAACGUAUUGCAGAUCCACCUAUAGUUUGCACUCCAAUAUUGUCAAACACCUAAUAAAGAAACAUAAAAUGCAACCAAACUCCUCAUCAUCCUCAUGAUUUGCAAAUAGAAACAAGCUCCAAUGUCAAUUAAAAUGUUAGUCAUAAUUAGCGAUAUUCAGUACAGAAGUGUGCAGGGUAUAAAGUGAGGAAAAAUAACUGAACACAUCUUCAUCCUGCAUCAAAGUUUAAAGGAGAACUCUCUUUUUCUCAUGAUUAUUUGAUAAUUAGAAACACGUUUCCCAGCAUGAACCAAAAAGAAGGCCGAAUGCCUAUGCUUACUGAUCUAAGUAGGAACUUGUGAAGCACACUCCAGACUUAGUAAUUCAGAAAUUUGACGCCAGGUGCAUUUAGAAGAUACUCGUCCCUUUGCUCCAAAUUAAGUUUAUGCUUUACUUUUAGUCCAUCUGAAACUAAUUUUCUAUUUACUUUUCGAAACAUAUAUAAAAAACUAGUAUGUGGCACUAGAUGGUUCUCUCCAUGACUCGCAUGUUCCUUACUUUUAUGCUUGGAUAUAAUCUUCUACCUUGCAGAUAAAUUCCCUCCGUAAAACUACGACACUUACAAUUUAGAAAUGGACAUUAAACAACACACAAAUAACAAGUAUCCCACAAUGAAUUGCAGAUAGUAGUCAAGAGCUCAGUAGUAAUGCCAUCAGGAAUGUCGUCAACAUACACACCUGAUGACAGGAUAGGCGUUUUGAUAGCUCCCGACAGUCACCCUUUGCGAGUUCAUACAAAGGAAGCUCAUCCGGACAACCAUCUGGUUUGGUCCACUUAAAUUCAGACCUUGUAGAUUUCCUUAAAUCAUCCAAAUGCUCUUCAUUUCUCACCAAAAAAUACAACCCCUUGGGCAAUCCUACAACUCUAUGAACAAAAAGGGCAGCAUGCACUUCACAAUCCCAUGAAAGCGUCCUAAAUGGCAAUGCUAACUGUUUCCUUUGCUUUCUCCACUCCAAAACCCGAAGGCAUACAAUGCAGCAAAAUCUGAUAAAAAGUCUCUCUUGCCAUUGUGGUAGAACCAUCCAUAUCUACUGCACUCCUCCUCUUUCUAACCAUUUCCCUCAAACUAAAACCUUUAUAAGAACUCUCACUAAUGUCUCCACUGCCCAGAAACGGAGCAACUAUGAAUUGAUUGAAUAUGUUUAAAGGCUUUUUUGUGCCUCGGCGGUCCUAUAAAUAAUAUCCCAACACACAUGCUCUUUACUAAGCAAAUUCGGUUCCCUUUCCACUCCAAUGUUGAAAACUGGGAUAUAGCUAAACUCAACCCCUUAUAGUCAACGCCAAAAUCACUUGUGCCACUAGGAAAAACCAGAAGCACACAAUCAGGAUGCUCAAACUCAAUCUCAGGCAUCUUCCCUUGACCGGCCUGGACGGGAUUUUGAACUCGGGAAAAACAUCAAGUCCCAUUAGUUUCUCUAAUUCAUCAUGGCCCAAACCAUCCAAAACCUUAACUUCCCACCCAAGCCCUGCCGCGGCCAUCGAAACCGCGGCAAUGGCAUGCCCGACGUCAUGAUUACAAUAUCUAAAGGCCCUCUCACCAUACUUCCAAGCUUCCCUCCAGAAAAUAGAGGAAAAUCCAAUAAGAAAACAGUUCUUGGGGAAAUUUUUGGGAAAAACCCAGAUGGAAUUUCGGUUCUAAUUUCCAAACCAUGCUCUUUCGGAGCAUAAUGAGCGACAAAUGAGUGAUCAAUCAGAGAAUCAAUUGUGUGCAAUGAUGUAAGCCUCAGUGGGGUGAAGAUUCCCACUGCUGGGAUUAACCCUGAGGGACCAAGUGGAGAAGCCAGUAGUUUUCCAGGCUGAUAAGGCUAAAGAAUCAUAAAAAGUUGAGAAAUGUGGUUUUGGAAAUGGGUUUUGGGGACGGUAAAGAAUUGAAAACCGUGUGAUACAGAGGAGGAGGAGAGCCGUCCCGGUGGUAGCGGGAGAAUUGGGUGAGGGAGGGUGCAGAAGAGGGAGGAGUGGGGAAGAUACGUAACGGCGAAAAGGGUUGGGUUGGUUGGCCCAGUCAAGGCCAUAAGGCCACGGGCAUAGUUGUUGAAGUUGUGUUUUGUUUGGUUAUGGUACCUCAAGACUUGAUCUUUUUGUUGCUGUUGUUGUUGGUCUAACGAGUGUUGGUGGGUGGAUGGAGAGUGUGAUGAAGCUGCCGUGGACAUGGUGAUUUUGAGGAUUCUUUGGGAUAGUCUUUUGGUGUGGUGGUGGGCGGCGGGAGGAGUGGUGAUGGUGGUGGAGGGACAGAGCUAGUCUAUGGUGAAGCAGAGGCAUCUCGGCCAUCUGCCUCUGUUUUGUUACGGCAGUGCGUAAAAUCGACUAAAAGUGAAAAUUCUUGCUGAAAAGCAGGCGCUUCUGGAAGUUGGAAUUUGGGAGGUGCGGAAGCAAAGAACGUUUUGGAAGGUUCCAAAAUCCCAAGAUCCGGGACCCGUGUUGGAGGUUGCUGCCCGAAACCUUGGAAUGCUUGUGUUAUUGUAUUGGGCUAAUAAGUCCCAAAUGAAACAGACGAGCUUCUAGACAUUUAGCCCAACACUGUAACCGAGAUUCAUUCAUCCUGCCGAUGUUGCUCGGGCUGUUGCAUUGAUUGGCCUGCUAUCUGCGACCCACCUCAAUUCAUUUAGCCAUCAAUCGAGUACCACGUGCAUGACGCAUGCAUGUUUUUUGUUCAGCUGUUUAGAUGUUUAGAUUUUUCCGGUAAGGUUUUGAGUCUUUCUUUAGAAGUAUUACUAUAAAGUUUCUGAAUAGAAAUUUUUUUUUUUUACAAAAAGCCUCUUUUAAAUAAUGUUAUGAUACUUUUUUUUUAAUCUGAUGCACGUGACAUAAAAGAUGGUUAGAAAGAUUAAAAGAGUAUUAAAAAUUUUUUUUUUUUUGAUAAAAGCAAAUUUAUUACAAUAGAUUUUAAAAAUUGUCCAACACAAUUUGAUUUACAUUACUAUCUCAAUGAUAGAUUAAACACACACUAUAAAUUACAUAUCUACUAUAGUUAAAAAGAGGUACAAAUUUAACAGAUGCAAUAGAUCUGAAGAAGAAUAUAGAAAACAUAUUCAUGAUGCAAGUUCAAAUAAUCACGUAUGCCAAUGCUCUGUACUUGUGGUAUUUAUGCAUGUCUCUACUAGUGAUGAACAUGUUAAUUCUUUAAAAUAACAAGUUUAGUGUUAUUAAAAUUUGUCCCAAUAAUAUGUUCACAUAAUUUUAAUAACAAAGAUGGCAACGUGUGCUGAGAUCAGAUUAGGAUAUUUCUAAUUCGUAACUUAUGUUUAAUAUGCAAGCAAAUCAAGCACUAAUAUAUGGAAACUAAGCAAUAGUCAUAGUUUUAUAGGAAGAUAAUCAUUUACGUGCCACAAGUCGUUAUGGGAUGGCUGCGUAAAAAUCUCGAUGAGUACUGGUGCCCAAAUCAAUGCUGCUGCUGCUGCUACACGUUCCAAAUCUGGGAACUGUUCGUUUGUCGAUUUGCUAACUUUCUGCUGUGCCUCCUGAGAGUGAAGAAUGCCUUUUUUUUAAUUAAUUAUAAUUAUGACAAAAUGAAUGAUUGCUAAGCACUGAUUUUUAGCUGAGCUUCCCAGUAUGAGUAAGCUCUCAUUUUUGCUACUUCUGAUAGGCCACAACACAAGGAAGACCCUCACUCUUUAAAGAAAAAAAGGGAAAUCUUUUUUGCAUUGGGUUUGGAGUGGCUAAAGUAAAAAAUGGCAGUGCAAGGGCCGUACAAGACUGCAAACACUUUCAUACCUCGUACAGUUUACGUGUAAACCGUUCUAAUCCGAUUCUUCCACAAAUCCCCAUUCCAUUCCAUGGAGUUACUUUAAAAUAUCCAAUUCAAUAUUCACAAAGUUUGGCUCCAUUUCCGUAACCCAUUCGCUGCGAGUAGCCAAGCAGGCAAGAAAACAGCAGCACCAGUCAUCAAAGCACUGGCACCAAAACCCCACCAAAAUCCAAACACCUGCAUUCUUUUUUCGUCUCUUCUUCUUCUCUUCUUCUUUCUGUAUCAAUACAACUCAAAACUUUGCGACACAAACAACCCUUCAACCAUUGAAAUUCCCAAGGCUCAUCCCUGCAAAUCUCUUUCUCUGUGUCUCUUUUUGGGCUGGUAAGUGUUUGUUCUUUCCAUCUUCCCCGUUUCCCGAGUUCUUGACUUUUUUGUUGCUAUGGUUUUUUGGUCCUGUCUUUAUUCUUUUGAAAAAUCGUGUCUUGAUCAUGUUUAGAAUAGUGAAAGAGAAAAGUUGUUGUUUUCCUUUUUUCAACUUUGCAUGGUUGAUUGUGAAUAUUGGUUGCCAAGACGAGAAAAUUAAAGAAAGCUACAGAAUUACACUCCAGUGCCAUUAAAGAAAAAAAUAUUUUUAUUUGGUUGACACUUGCCAGCGGAAAAGAUGGACGCGAGAUAAAAGCUAGAGAAAUAGUGAAUUGGGCACCUCAAUAUACCUAAAAACGGGAUUUUGCCGUUGUAUCCAAGGACCCCGAAAUUUUUGGUGCAGAAACAGGGGUAAAAGAAUGAAAUUGUGGGCUCUGAUUGUUUGGGCGCAACUUUUGUUUGACGAUAGUUAACUGGACGAUAAUCAAAAGGGAAGCAUUGUUUUGCUUUUUGAUUUUAACUGUUUUUAUGACUAUUUGAAAUUAUUGUCCUACUUCCAUUGCUUCUGCUAACCUCUAUCUAAGGCACUACUCAAAAACUUUAUAGGGAUGGAAUGGAUUACUCAAAAACCUUUUCAAGUUAGCACCCUAAACUACCAUUUUUGCACAAGGGUGUGUUGUUGUGUAUUUAUGCUACACUCAUAAUCUCUGAAUACCUUGUACAUGGUGGUGCUAGGGAUUGUUUUUGGCACUGUAUUCAGUAUCUAACAAUAUGAAGAAUCUUGGGAGGAUGGGAAUUCGUUAUUUGCACAAACUAAAUGCUGCAAAUGUGCCCAAGGACUUGUUAGAGAGGGGGCAGAAUCGUGUUAUGGAGGCAUCUCUUACCUUUAUCCGUGAGAGAGCUAAGCUCAAGGUAUGAUUUGAUCUCUGUCAAAAUUUUCAUCUUCAAGUUUUCCUUUGUUCUAUGAGAAUAAUUUUAAAAUUAAUGUUAGGGAGAACUUUUACGAGCACUAGGAGGAGCUGUAGCAUCAGCAUCCCUUCUUGGAGUUCCUCUAGGGCAUAACUCUUCAUUCCUUCAGGGGCCUGCAUUUGCUCCCCCUCGUAUAAGAGAGGCUAUCUGGUGUGGCAGCACAAACUCCACAACUGAAGAAGGUGAAGCCAUUUUUAUGCUAGUAUUACGUAAACACAUAUGGAUGUUGAGCUUCCAUGUUGUCCAAAGCAAAAUUAUCUGUGAAAUGAUUAGUGUUUGCAUUCAGGCAAUCAUGAAUGCCUCCAUAUAACCGUUGUGCAUAAGGCUUUGAUUAAGAGGGUUAGAAAUGUUUCAUUGUGAUUAAGAGGAUUUUAUGUCUUCAUUUCGGUCUUGCCACUGGUCUCUUUUUAACCUAGUUUAGUAUUUGAUAAGGAUUUUGACUGUUGAUUAUGGGUUCCUUGUCGUAUUUAUGUUUAACCAGUUGCAGAGGAACAUCUAAUAUUCCUUGUUGCACUGACACUAAAAAAAGUCAAUAUCAUUUUCUAGCUGUGCCAUCUACUGGAUCCCCUUGGCUUCAUUUCAUAGAUAAGGACAUCAUCAUAAGCCUCCAUCAAUUCCCCACCCCAAAGGAGGUGGAAAACAAACCCCUUCCCUUGUGAUGCUAGUGGUUUUUAUUACUUUCUGUAGGAUUUGGUCUCUGUUAUUAAUAGUUUUUCGUUGGCUUGUUUGUGGUCCAUUAUUUUGUUGCUGCCUACUGUUCUAUGAGCCUUUGCCAAUCUUUACUUCCUUAUCGAAUCGAGAAAUUACCUUAACACUUUUCUCAAAGCUAGGAGAUAAAUUUCAUCUGAUAGGUAGGAUCAGUUCCCCUAAUAAUGUUGGCUGCUCACUAUGUUUUCUCUCUAAUUAUGAUCAUAAUUUCAUGCAUUGUCAACAAAUUUGGACAAAUAUACACUGCUGAUGCUUUCUACUAGAAAAUAUUUGAAAAAUACAUCUUCUCCCUGUAAGAUGAUCUUGGUCUUAUGCAGGCAAGGAAUUGAAUGAUCCACGAGUAUUAACUGACGUUGGUGAUGUUCCAGUACAAGAGAUCCGAGAUUGUGGUGUAGAUGAUGAUAGAUUAAUGGGUAUCAUAAGUGAGUCAGUCAAGCUAGUAAUGGAAGAAGUAAGCCCCCUUUUGCGUUUUUUUCUAUUACGUAUUACACUGUUUUCUCUGGUAGAAUCAAGCUAAAGAGCUCAUCUGAUGUAGCUAUUUUGGUUAUAAUGUUUCCCAGGUUUUUAACAGUGAAUCUCUCUCUCUCUUCUCUAUCUCUCUGUAGAGGCAUGAAUGCUAGGGCGAGCAUGAUGUUUCUGAGAAGGAAGGAUGUAUUUGAAUUAGCUUAGAGAUGACAAUGCUAGAAACUUUUUCCUGCUUUGCCACUAAUUUUCUUGAAGAUUUGUAGACAGAUGAAUGUACUGUAUGAAAGAAGCUCUCUCUCUCUCUCUCUCUCGUCUUGAUAGGGAAUCUGCAGUAGAGGGACUUAUUUGAUGAGUGACAUGAAACUUUAGAGAUUAUGUUUUCUGAAAAAGAAAUACAAGAUUGGCAUCAAAGAUGAAAGAGUUCCCUCUUUUUAUGUGUUUAUAUUUAUAUAGCUACAGCAUGUGCUUGAACUGUUACCUUUUGACCUAUAUACAUUAAGUAAUUGAAUUUUUUCACUGAUCCCAUAGCUCAAAUGUGAUUCAUCUCCCUCUUGAUGAACAAAUAUAUGGAAAGCAAACCAUUCAUCUGUAGUCAAAGAUUGGCUCUUUAAGAACCUCUACUGUGUUUCAACUUGAUUUCAUUCCCUUCCAGAUGCCUGCUUUUAGUGUCUUAGUCAUCAUUAGGACAGCUUUUCACUUGAUGCCCUUGUAAGAUGCAAUUCUGUGUGCUGAUUAAGAUCCAUGGUCUUCUGUUUAAGAUCCGUAUAUUUUUAAUUGAAAUAGAAUCCUCAUUAUUUUUCUUCUAGCUGUUUUUUCAUUAGUAAAAUUUCCAAGUAGCAUGUGUUGAGUGCAGAUUCUAUAUACAAGUUCUAAUUACAUCUCAUGAUACCCGGAAAAUACUACUCCCUCCGUCCCACUUUGAUAGUCCUGAUUUUUUUUCACACAGUUUAAGAAAAAGUAGUUAACUUUGUUGGAACAAUCAAUUUAGAUAGUUAUUUUCUAAAAUACCCUCACAUUAAUUAGAGUACAACUUUAUGGGAACUUGAAUUGAUGGUAAAAAAAGAAUCAACUCUUAUUAAAUGGGGUAGGUUUAUAGUAAAUAACUUACAUUGAAUAAGGGUAUUUUAGGAAAAUUAAAAUACAAUUACAUUCUUCAAUUAGAAAGUGGACUACAAUUUGGGACAGAUGAAAAAGGAAAAUAGGACUAUCAAAGUGGACGGAGGGAGUAUAGAAAUUGCAUUGUCCUUGAUUCUCCUGAUUCUGAAUGGUUCCAGAUGAUUCUAAUAUUUUCCCCUCUUGAUGACAAUAGUAUGCCUUUUGUUGUCUGCCUAAUUGCAUCUUCCACUGAUUUUCAACUGUUUUAAAUGGAAAUUCUUGUGUAUGCAUUUUGUAAAUGCAGGAUCCAUUGCGCCCUUUGGUAUUGGGUGGGGAUCACUCUAUAUCAUUCCCUGUUGUGAGAGCCGUUUCUGAGAAGCUUGGAGGUCCUGUGGAUAUUCUUCACCUUGAUGCCCAUCCUGAUAUUUAUCAUGCCUUUGAAGGAAACAAAUAUUCUCAUGCGUCUUCUUUUGCACGCAUCAUGGAGGGUGGUUAUGCUCGCCGGCUUUUGCAAGUAAUCCAGCCAUUUGAAUGCAUUGCUAUAUAUUUUAUUGAUAUUCCUCUUUAACUUAGUAUCCAAAUCUACUUUCUGUUUAGCAGUAGUCUUUAGAAUGAUAUUUUUCUUCUAACUUGUUCCUUUAGGUUUAUUAUGUAAGCCAUUUGAAUUACAUGCUUUUUUUUUUGUUUUGAAAAAUCAAACUUCCAAUUUUUUCUCUGGUCAAAGAUAUUUUGGUGAUGAUAUGAGAAAAGCAUUCACUUUUGAUGUAAUUAAUUUUUAGGAACGCAAAUUGAUUUCGCUAGUUCUAAGGUGUUUUUAUCAGCUUUAGACUGUCUAAUAACUUUUCUUAUUUGAUUCCAAAUAUAUUAAAAAAUUGUUAAGCUUCUCUUUCUCAUUAUCUUCUUAGAAAGGUAUUUGAAGGCUCAAUGGCAUUUGUCCUUUUCUGUAUGUUUAGAUUGAGUGGAGCUCUGCUCUCGAGUAAAAAUUGGUGGAAUAGGAGAUAAUCGGACAUUUCAUGUCUGAGAAGUAUAAUGCUAAAGCGCUUGCUUGUUGCACAGGUUGGAAUUAGAUCAAUUACAAAGGAAGGCCGUGAACAAGGAAAAAGAUUUGGUGUGGAGCAAUAUGAGAUGCGAACCUUUUCCAGAGACCGUCACAUAUUGGAGAACUUGGUCUCUCUCUCCUCCCUCUCUCUCUCUCUCUCUCUCUCACAGACACACAAAUUCACGGAGGUUCAUCAUUAGCAACUCUCAAAUUGAAAAGAUUUGAUAUGCAUAGUUUCUGUCAUCUUAUUGUCUAGUCUUGGAGUCCAAGUUUUGCUGACCCAAAACAAAAUCCUAUGUCACAAAGCUGAUUUUCAUUCUUUAGACAUUGUCAAAUGCUUGGGUUCCUUUUCACGAACUGAAAUCUACAUUUCAUCCAAUACUUAUGCAUUGGUCAAGGGGAGCUAUAGUGCAAACAAACAAGUCUACUCAAAGGUGUUCUGGUUCAUACCCAAUUUACCUUAUUCUGAAUGUCUACUCUAUUUGCAGAAACUUGGUGAAGGGGUGAAGGGUGUAUACAUUUCAGUAGACGUGGACUCUCUUGAUCCAGCAUUUGCCCCAGGGGUGUCUCACAUUGAGCCUGGAGGCCUCUCUUUCCGCGAUGUUCUCAACAUACUUCACAAUCUUCAGGGUAAUGUUAUUGCUGCAGACGUGGUGGAAUUCAACCCCAGCGUGAUACUGUUGAUGGGAUGACAGCAAUGGUUGCUGCUAAGCUUGUAAGAGAACUCACUGCAAAGAUGUCAAAGUGAUGAACAGAUGUUGCCAAUAAAGAGCUACACUGAAGCCCAAAAGCUUCAUAAGGGAAGCAGCACACCAAGCAUUUUUCACUCCCUAGUGUUGUAUGAAGAGCAGCUAGCUCGAAAAGGAAUUCAACUGUCACAGUUUCCUGUUCAUUUACUAUUUGGUUGCCAUGUUAAAAUUCAUACAUGCAUUAUAAUCUCCUUCAUUAUUGUGGAGAACAAAAAUAAGAAUGAAUAAUGUCUUCAGUCCAAAUUCUUCUUGUUGAGUUAUUUCUUUCGUUUAAUCCAAAGAGAUCUUCUGCCUUUUCUUUAUUACUUUAACAUGGUGUUUUAUUUGUUAGACGCUACGCUAUGGUUGUGUCUCAUAUUUCCUCUUGCAGAUUUAUUUACUCCCAAUGCUGUGCCAGAAGCGUUAUAGAAGGCGAGGAGGCUUUCCAGAUCUGAGCCUCCAUCUGGCUGGGUGGCUGUUUAUACCAUUCUUGUCUGCACAAGAUACUGCUGCAAUUACCAUAAUUGGUUGCUGAACCAGCUUGUAAACGGGGUCAUAUGAGCUGUACUUUCUGGUGUCAUCAUCACAGAGAGUUCCAAUAAACUACACAUACAAUACAUACAUACAUACAUAUAUAUAUAUAUAUAUAUAUAGGAUCUACUGAGAAAAAUACAAAGAGAAUACUAUAUUUCGUCAUGAAGUUGUCAUAUUUGCGUUUUACAUCACUUCUACAAUCCACGUCUACUGAUCUUGCUACAAAAAUGCUCAUUCAAGUACUUGUGAUCCAGAUAGAGAUAGACAUGAGAAGCAAUUUGAUUAGUUCAAGGUAUGGCACCUGCUUCUGCUCCCCCCUCUCGCUUCUCUAAUGUUAUGCACUUGUACCUCUUAGCCACCACGACAAACAUUGCCAGAUCAAGUGCAAUGAGAGCUGCUGAAAGGAAGAAAAAUCCUGUCCAAAUGGCCAUCAUUUAAAUUUGCAGGAACCCAUCCUGGCUUCCCAUGCCUCGAUGUGAUAUUCAUCACCACUGUCAGCGCUAUGCUGCAUAAGUAACUACCUAACGCAGAAGAAGACAUCGAUAAACCAAGCCCCAAGCUCUUCAAUCUAUCUGGUGUUUGUGAAGCGAAGAACUCCCACUGGGCAACAAUUACAAAUGCUUCGGCUACUCCUACUAAUACAUACUGAGGAGUCUGCCAGAAAAUACUCAGGGAACUAGUUUCUUGACCUUUUUGGAUUGCAUGUCUUAGUCUGUGCAGCUCGACAAAGCCUGCAAUUAUCAUGGCUACAAUCGAAAUCACCAGUCCAAUUCCUAUUCUUUGUAAUUCACUUAGAGUCUUUGGCUUCCUUUUAGUCAGUUUCACAUAAAAAGGAACAAUAAACUUCUCAUAGCAAAUGAUGAAUGUAGAUGUGCUUAUAAUGUCAAAGGCAGUCAUGCUGGCUGGAGGAUGUGAAAUCCCAAGAUUACUGAUUCCAUUGCAGCUCCUUGCUCAACAAAGAGAGAAAGAACUUGUACAAAGACUAUGGAGGCAACAAUGGUGCAAAACCAUAUUGGCAAUAGCCUCAGCACACAUUUUACUUCUUCAACUUGAGAAACAGUGCAGAGACGCCACGGAUUUGGAGCUUGGCUUUUGCCAGGUAAUAUGGUUAUCACGUCUGGUGCUGUCACAAAAGCUGCCCGAUCAAGAAACCUGAAAAUGGAUUUAUUAUUCUCUUUUUGAUGAAACUGUCAGAUUGGAUAAACUCAAGUUUUUAAUUCGAUGAGUGCAUAUACGAGUUUUUCAUAUCAUACAAUCUUAAAUGACAUAAAUGCAAGUUAGUCUAGAAAGUAAAAGUGCAUAGCAAUUUUCAGAAGUACAGAUGAGGCCAUUGUUUUGUACACUGAUGAUAUUUGAUAGGCAUAUGACUUGAAGAAACUUACUUGAAAUCAUCUGUAUGUACUAUAUUUCUGGUACUGUCUUUUUCAUCUUUCUCCUGAAGUUCAUGGAGCCCCUUCCCAUUUGAGGGAACUUCGAGUUUCAUUUUUCUUGUAGAAGCCACAAAUACCUGAAAGAACCUUGAAACGGGAUUGCCAGCAGGCUUAAAGUGCCUAUAUCUAGAAUUCCCACAUAACAGCAAAAUCAAAGCAAAAAAACCAGAUGUUGAAAUCCAAAAGGCCAGCUCCCACAUCCCAGAUUUUCUAUAUAAACCAAGACUGUUUCAGCAAUCAACGAUCCAAGAUUCAAAGCGACAUAGUAAUAGCCAAAAAAUGCAGUUUUUGAUCGCUUUUCUUCUGUAUCCUCCUCAUCAAAUUGGUCUGCACCGAAUGUACCAAGUGCUGGUUCCAUUCCACCACUACCAAGAGCUACUAAGUAGAUUGAUAUAUAGAAUAUUGCAGUUUCAAGUGGUGACUUAAUAUCGCAGUGUUCUCCUAUUCUCCCACAUCCUUUUGGUUCAAUCAUAAAUAUGCGCGUUGAAAGAGUUAAUAUAAUCAAACCCUGCAACAACAAUGAAGUUUACCAAUCACAGGGAGAAGCAAUCCAAAAUGUACAGAAAAGAGGAAAUACCUAAAGAACUAGUGAAAAUUUCUGGCAUGUUCACUUACAAGCACCAUUAUGGUCUGGAAAACAACACAAGUGACAUAUCUGCCCAUAUAGGAGUCACUGAGAAAUGCACCUAUAAGAGCACAAAUGUUGAGGGUUCCCAUCCACCGACUGAACGUAUUGGCUGCAUCUGCAUUUGAUUGCCUGAGGACUGACUUUGCAAAAAGAACCAUGUUUACUUCCACCCCAGUAAAUGCAACUGCAGCAAGUCCUUCAUUGACUAGACAAGCCAUGAGCAGGAAAACGUGUCAUUUACAUUAAAAUGAUGUUUUAACAACACAUAUAUAUUGCGGAAUGUCUUUAGCCAAUUAAUCGUAAACUUACCAAUCAGGCUUCUCAUUGGUACUUUAAUUUAGAUAAGCGGGUACUAAGGCUACCAAGAUUGCGAGUGUAGUAAACAAGAAAACGUAAAAAGUACCUAGCAAAAGCAUCCCUGAUCUCCAUCCACCAGUUUUUUCCUUAAUCGCUGGUUUCCCAUGCCUGUCAAAAGAUCCAUCUUUUGUGCAAGUAUUUGGAAGUCUAUUUCUUGCAUCCUGCAUUAUAGGAGAUCAAGCUCAUCCCACCUAACACCAAUUUUGUUUAAAAGUAUAGAACGUACGUUUUUCUUGCAGUUUUCAAAAUUUUAAAGAUGUUAUACUAGAACAUCUAUUUUCAAAGAAAAGUGCAGUUCUUGAAAUUUUCCAAGAACCAUACAAUAAUGGUAAGAUAGUAAUUCCAAUUCCAGUGGCCAAAUGAUAUGAAACAUACUUUCACCAGUACAAAUAUAUAAUACACAGUUGAACUAAUCCUCCAAAUAAAGCCCUGAGCUUAAAAGGACUUUACUCCUAAAUCCUAAUAUCUAGGAAGCCACUUUCAUUACUACUUGAAAUUAACAAUAUCUAGAAACAGGUACCUAAAUUUCAGUUUAUGAUUACGUCCCUUCAGCAAUCGAGAGUCUUCAAGAACUCUUUUGAUGGUCCAAAGACAGAAUCAUUUUUUUCUUUUCUAAAAAGUUCUAAAAUUUGUUAAACAAUUUACCCUUUAUGAUAUGGCUUUCACUCUAAUGUUAUAAAAGACACCUCGCAAUUAUAAUAGCUUGUACAUGCCGUAUCAUUCUUUUGAAAGGUAAUCUUUGGGAAGAGAUUUGUUUGAUUGUACAGGGGCCCAAAGUAUAACAUGGAUGUAAAGAGCUUAUGAACUAUUCUUUUAAAUUCACUACAAACAAUAUCAAAAUUGAAGUGGAAUCUGAGAGUCUUGAGUAAAACCAUAUAGUUGCAAUGUAUAAGACUGGAUGGCUUUACUGAAGUUAAAUAGCUCAAACUCGAAGGCAAUUACAGCACAUUUUAUGAAGUAGAAAGGUAUGAAUUCACAUGAUGAUUAUUUUGAGAACUUUACAGUCCAGCAAAAUUACACAUAUCAAUGGCUUGAAAAUGCUAGUUCCAAAAUGUACACGAGUUUUACCAAAUUCGGUCUCAGAAAUCUUGUCCAAAGCUGGUGAGUGAAAUGGCAAAUUAAGUAUCUUAUCAAAGUAGAAUACAGAAACUGAACAGCCUACGAUUUCAAUGGGACACAACUUACUAUUUCCACUAACCCCACCAAUAAGAAGAAAAUUUAGAUAAGGUUAAGUAUCAUAUUCCAUUAAUCACACACGAAAGAGAAAAAGUGACAUUAAAUACUUUUUCUUUUUUGACUGUCAAAAUGGGACAUUAUUGCAUAUGAUAUUUUUUUAGGAUAGACACAAAUUAUGGAUUUUCACUAACACGACAACAUAAUUAGAAGUCGCUCGCUUUGUUCCUCUGCUGUGAACUUUGGAACAAUGGUGAUACAGACAUCAGCAAAUGCCUAAAUGAUGAACUCGUGCCAGGAAGACCACGAUUAUUGUAGAAAAAAAAAUUACCCCAAAAGACUCUUUUUUCACCCCAAAAAACUUUCUUCACUAUGCCACUAAAAAAAAUUUCCUGUAAGGGAUCACAUGCGUGGCUGCCUUUACUGUUUUUGUUUUUUGUUUUUGUUUUGUGUUGUUUAGUAUCACAUCACAUGCAAUGCAUCCCUUCUCUUUUUUACUUUUGUUUGUAUUCUUUCCUUUUUUCUUCAUGAAUAUCAUUAGCUUCCCCACGUUUCUAUAUUUGCUUCGUCUAUCUAAAAGGGCUGGCUUGAACUUUGAGACUCGUUCUGUGAAUUCAACGUCUUGAUUUUCGUACUGAAACUUAAUGACGAAGUUUGCCACCUUUAGUAUGGUCGAGGAAACUCAUUUGUUAGAUGGAAAAGAAUUAAAGGCGCCACAUUAACCUGUAGAAGAUGAAUACAGUACAACUAAAAUUAACCAAAUUAGAAGGAAAAAAAAUGCUGUAAGGUAGAUUUUCAUGAGUUUUCUGAUAAGAUUUCUGUGCAUGCAGCGGGAGACAAUAAUUAGAAGCAUGAUAUCUAUGGUACGUAGUCUAAUUUCUAAAAUUUCUAAUCCAAUUAAUAUAGGUAAAGAAAGAAGAAAAUCUGACGUAUUAUACAAAAGAAGUGUACAUUUUGGACUCGUUGCUGGUGAUUGACAUGUUAAAAUUCUCAUACAUUUUAUGUUGUUGAGUCGUCUCCAUGUUUUAUCUUACUGAUGAGAAGGGGGAGCAGAAGCGAGAAAGUGGGCGAGAGAGAAUUUAUAGAAGGAGGCAAGAAGAUAAUCGGACAUGGGAAUUGGUAAAUACCAACUUGGUAUCUAGUGGUUUAACUACGUGGUUGCCAUGCAAUUGCAAUGCAAAGCCGCCGGUGAUAUAUGCCGGGAUAUGUUCCCUUCUUCCUCAACUUAACUUGAUGACUAAUUAAUACUACAUGACUCUUUGGAGAAACAGUGAAUCAAAAACGGUGUUCUAGAUUUCAGCGUGACUUAUUCGCGUGUAUUGUGUAAUGAAACUUCAUUCUUUCUUCCUGUUUUUCUAUUGUACUUGGUUUCAGUAUAUAUCCACCGCUACAGCCUGGGGGAUGUACGGCCUACAUCUGCUCUAUUUUUGUUUCUUUUUGAAGACUUUAGCAUCUUUUUUUUUUCCCCCUUUUGGGUUGUUAGAUCAAGAGGUUCUGGUUAUCAACUGUUUGAUUGUCGGAAGCUAUGAAGAUUUUCAAAUGAAAGUGGGAAUUGAUUGCAUUACGAGAAAUGUUGCUGUUGUUUCUAUAAAGGAACGUUGCUAGCUAAUGAUACUUGUCUAUUUAGAAGAUUUUGGACCACAGCAGAUUGUUCAGCUAAGUCAACUGACUUUUAACUAAUGCAAAGUGGACCAUUUAUUGGUAAGGAUGUGAUACUUUCUCACAAAAUCGUAUGUUUAACUACAUAUCAAUAUGAAGUGUUGGUAGGCAUUAUUGUAUUAAUCUUUAUAAGUGACUUGUGAUUUUGGAAACAUGCUCUAAUCUGUAGUGGUGAUUGGAGUCGAACCUAUUGAAUUUUUAAAAAAAAAACUAUCAAAAAUUAAUGGAGAUGCAUGCAAAUAAUACUACUGUCAAAUGAUAUGAAGUUCUUAUUUGACAAAAAGGAAAGAAAAAGGACAUAUAUAUGAAGUUCUUAUGAGUAAUAUUUGUAAUGGGUGCAGGCAAUGAUGGAGCCAAGGCCCCCUAAGUUUUGAAAAUUUUAAUUCAUAAUAUGUAAAUAUGUGUGCAAAAUAAAAUUGACCCCCCCUAAAUUUUUAUAAUUUUAGUUUAUAUUAUGAGAGUUGAUAUAUAUAUAUAUAUAUGUAUAUAUAUAUGAAUUAGUCAUCUUUGAAUUAAUUUUUUUCUUCAAAAAAAGUUAUUUAUUUUUUAUUGUACUAAUUAUUUAACUUUCAAAAAUAAACAUAUAAUUUGAUGUUCCAUAGUGAAUUGACCCAAUGUGAUGUAUUAGAAUAAAAAGAUCCAAUUCAUAAUUGUUAAUGGACUAAAAAGACCCAAUUUAUAAUUGUUAAAAGCAAGAACUAGUACAUCUAAGAAUAGAACUUCAACAUUUUGAGCUCGACAUUCCAAAUCAUCCUGAAUUGCAAGAAUUAUUUGGUAUUCAUGAGUUAUGUCAAGGCUUGGUGAAGACAAGAAAAUCAGUGAUAUAUUCUCUUAUUGACAAAUUGAUUAGACGUGUUCUUACUCUUCCUGUAUUAACUGCAACUACAGAGAGCGGGCAUUUUCAAUUAUGAAAAUAAUCAAGAUAAAACUCCGAAACAAGAUGGAAGAUAAUUUCUUGAAUGAUUGUCUAACUGUGUAUAUAGAAAAUGAAAUUGCUGAAAAAUUUAGCAGUGAUUCAAUCAUAGAUGAAUUUAGUUCUAUGAAAGAGCGUAGAGCUCAAUUUACUUCUAAGAAAAGAUGUUGAAAUUUCAAAUUAUGUUAACAUAACUUUUAUCUUUUUUCAAUUGAAAAUAGUUACAUUUAUAUUACAUGGUUAAUAUAUAUAUAUUAUAUUGCAUAGGUGACAUAUUGGAGAGCAUCUUCUCAUAAUGUGUAAAUUGGAUGGUUUGUGAUGUUAUAAGAUAUUUAAUAAAAAAUUAUCUUUUUUGUUAAUUUUUGUUAUGAGUAUACUGCAUAUUUAUGAAUAGACAUACCUUUAUAAUUAAAUUUAAUAUUUGAUAUUUUUAGAUGUCAUAUAUUUAAAUAGAAAAAAAAAUUUUGAAUAUAAUAUAUUAAGAUAAUUUUAUUAGGAAAAAAUUUUGGCCCCCCCCCAAAAAAAAUCCUGGCUCCGUCACUUGCAGGCAUAAGUUUCCUUGGAUAUUGACUCUGUUGGAUCUAUACAUCUCAAUCUUGCGCAGUUGGUUUGAAGGGGAACUAGGGGAUUUUAACAAGGGUUAAUCGCACUUUAUCCCUUUUAAAUAUAGGUCAUUUCUCACUUUACCCCUCAAUGUUUGUUUUUCAUCAGUUUACCCCCUCCGUCAGCAAUUGCACCGUUAAAAAUUUCAAGAUUUCGAAAUUGCUAUACAAAAAGGGCCGUUGGUUUUGGCUGACAAAAAUGCCCCUCAAUGGUGUCUGAUGCUUUUAGCCUACUUUUUCCCUCAAAGAGCCAUUGGUUGGUUUUAGCCGUUAGUUGGGUUCUAUAAAAAGCGUAUUUUGCAGCCAAUUUUGUCAUACAUUUUAGCAUAUUCCAAAGUUCCUAAAAUUUCUCUUCAAAGUUCCUAAAAUUUCUCUUUGUCAACCAAAAAAUAAAAUAUCACAAAGUGCUUCAAAUAAUGUUGAAAGAUCAUCCCAAAAAAGUGUGGAUGUGGUAAAGAGGCACCAUUGUGCACCUCUAUACAAAAUUCGGGAAAAAGAUUUUACGGCUGCUCAAAUUACAAUGCAAAACUUUUUCAUUAAUAAUUUGUUAACAUUGUCUUUAAUUUUGCUCUAUACCUGAAUAAGUUAGAAAGAGUUUAAACAACUAAUUUGUUUUUUAUUUAGAACGCGACACGCAUGUGGGCACUUUUCAUGAGUAGAUCCUGAAGUUUGUAGCAAAACAAUAAGUAGUGCUGCAAUCUAGACUAGUGGAGCAAAAGGAGAAACUAAUGUACUUGCAAAGGGAGCAUGAAAAAUUGAAAAGCAGAUAUGAAGCCUUAGAAACAGAAGUUUAUGUCUUACGAGUUGAAAACCAACAGUUACAGCAACAAUACAUGAUGGUCAAAGCUUUUCGAUCUUCAUCAUGGAGAAAAACACUAGCCAUUACAUUUCUGAUUGCUAGCAUUAUGUAUAUGUACUCUAUUUCAGAACCAAAAGGUAACAAAAAUCUGUUUUAUCUACCAUAAUUGUAAGCAAUAUAUAUGAAAGAAAAUUAUAUUAAGUUAAAAGCAUUUUGCACAUCAGAUUACAUCUUAGCAUGUGUCUGCAUGGCCACCCAAACAAAGGCCAUUUAGUAGAACCUAACCAAAACAUGAUUGUAAAACAUGUCCAAAUAAUGGCAAAAGAAAAACAACAUCAGCAUUUCUAACAUUGUUGCAAAACAAGCAAUCAAGUACUAGUAAUGACAAAAAUAGCAACAACAACACUAUUUCACAUCAAAAACAUUCAGGUGUGAGCAUAACUGUUGAACGUCCAUUUGCAGUUGAAAAUCCUUGGUAGAGAACACAGCUUCUCCAAAUCUAGUACUCUUGUUUGAACGUACAGUCAUGAAUGAGAGGUAUCUUAGUGCAUCAAACUACUAUUAGGGGUGGUAGCAUGUAAACAUAGUCAAAAGACUUGAACUCACCAUUCCAGUUUUAGCAGCACCUGAAUUGCUUUUAGAACUUCCAGUUUUAGCGUCACCCAACUUGGUUCUUGGACUUUUAGUUGUUACUGUAGUGGUUGCUUUUGAACUUGUACAUGGUACGCUGGUGGUAGCAACAUCAAUAGUUGUACUCAAAUUGGCAUCAGAUGUAGGUGUUCUUGUCCAUUGUAUCAUCAAUAGGAAACAAUAAGUGAGCACGUAUAAAAUGGCCAUGCAUGCAGAGUUUUAAAAUGUAGGUUUACCAGUUGGUUGGAGGGGCUGGCCAGUCUUUGAAGUACUUGGAAUCUGCAUAAUAAAGGUAGUUUUUAAUUAGUGCAAGUGUCUAAAAUUAAAUUAGUUACAUACAAAUAAAAAAGGAACUCACCAUGUUAAACUCAAAUGGGAUAUAUGUUUACUUGUUGAUAUCCCUUGGUCAUUCCAAAGUCCAAUGCCAUAGUGGGCCAUUAUUAUGGUUUGAACCCCUACUCUUACUCCCCUGUACCUCUACCUCUCAUUUUAGCUCUAGUUGGGCCUCUUGCAGUAGUGGAUUUAGUCACAUCAGCAUCCUACAACAUCAGCAUCAACAUUUCUUUCAACAUCAGUAUCAGCAUUUCUAGAGUGGCUCCUACGAGCUCCCCUCCCUCGUUUAGUAGGCCUUGUACUUGCAACGCAUUAAAAAAUGACAGUCAGGUGUAGAUAGAAAAAAGCCAAGCAGCAUAUAUUGAUUGAAGUUACCUGUGGCAUUCACUUGUUUUCUUUGCCUCACAAAUGAACAACCAAUGACCUUGCAACUUCUGGCAUUGUGGUCAGUAUGACCACAAUGACUACAAUAAAUUGGCAGCCCUACUUUAGACAGUUUUUCAACAUGUAAGUUCUCCAAUGGAGCAUUUCUUAACUUUCUCAGGCCUGCCUGGGGCUAUCUUCCUAUGAGGUGGGAGUAAUGUGUCAUUGCUAGCAUUCACCCAAUUUGAUUGGUCUGGCAUAGGCAUAAUAACACCAGCAUAUGCUUUUUUAUAUGUUUCCACUGAGUAGCAAUUAUCAACAUAUGCAUAUGGGCUUUUGUUGUCUUGCACAAGUCCAGCACAUGCAUGGACACAUGAAAUUCCUGUCAUAUCCCACUCAUUACAUGUGCAAGACUUUGAACUGCAUUAACAGCAAAAGUUCCUACUAUACCAGUCACCUCAUACACCUCUCUUGUAGACACAAGUGCAUCAAACUGAGCUACCUGUUUUUUCCUCUCUUCAAUUUUCUGACAAAUUCUCGGACAAAUAUGAGACUUCACCUUCUGAAUCCAGUCUCUUUUUUCUUGAAAUCUGCACAUUAUCUGCUUUCGAAUGGCUUCAAACAUAGUCAAAAUGGGCUCCUCCCUAGCAUCCUUAAUGUAUUGAUUGAAGCUCUCACAUAUAUUAUUACUUAAAAGGUCAUAUUUUGUCCUUGGAGAAAAAGGUGUGUCUGGCCAUAGUUAGCUGGUAUGGAACUAAGCCAUGCAUGUGCUUCUGGGGCUACUAAUUGCAACUCUCUCAUUUUGCUUUCAUAGUGACAGGGUAAAUAAGCCCUGGCUGCCCCCCACAUUAAAUCUCUUAGGUACUUAUCCUUGAAUUUCAGUUUGAAGUUAGCAUACAUGUGUCUAACACAGAAUCGAUGCUCCACUCCAAAUACUUAUUCUCAAUGCAAUCAAUUAAUCCCUGACAUAAAACAUAAAUCACAAAAUUAGUGAAAGGAGUGAGUGAGGAAUAAAGGAAAGUAAAUCAGAUUGUAGUGGUGCUGACCUUUUGUCUAUCUGAUAGAAAUACCCAACCCUUUCAAUUGGAGUCCCAAUGGCAUCAGUAAGGCUGUCCAAAAACCACCCCAACUAUUUUGCACUCAGACUCAACAAGAGCCAUAGCAAUUGGGAACAUCUGGUUAUUAGCAUCCCUACCAAUUGCAGACAUAAGCUGCCCUCCCAUGAUCCCUUAAGGUGACAUGCAUCCAGUCCUAUUACAGGCCUACAUGCAUUUACAAAACCUUCCUUUUGUGCAGUAAACAUCACAAACAUUCUCUUGAAGAUUGGACUUUUACAAAGUUGGGAUUUUUAGUUAGAAUAAAUGCCACUGAACCUGGAUUUCUUUGUAAAAGUGUAGCACAAUAGUCUCUUAAUCUUGCAUACUGCUUUGCACACGACCCUUUCACUGCUUCCUUGCUUUCUCUCUUCUCUAUACAUUUGAGAGUUUGUACAGUUCAGGUUAUACUUCCUUUUUAUACUUUUUGAACCCUUUUACUUUCAUAUCCGGAUGGUCAGCAAUCUCCUCCAUAAACAUCCUAGACAGCCACCUAGAAUUUGCACUCUUGUUCUUGAAAGACCAUGGACAUCUAUGAGGUACGCCUUUAAUGGACUUCACUUGAAGUGUAACUUUGCUUCCAUUAUAGCCACUAGCAUAUAUUCUCCAUCCACAUUUAUUUGCACAUAUAACCACAGUUUUAUCUUUGUCAUUCUUAGUGAAGGUAACUUCAAACCAUUCAAAAUUGAAUACAUUCUAACUGCAACUCUAAAAUCAUAAAUGUUGGUGAAAAUUCUGCCUACAGUCAACUCAGGAUUUUUUAGAUCCCUUUCCAUGUUAAACUCAGAAAUUCAUGCUCAUGCCUUCAUCUUUUGAAUCAUAAACUGGUUUAAGUAUUUCAUCAUCACUAACAUCUUCAUCAUCGACCAGUUUUCCAUUCCCUUUGGAGUUAAGGUAUGCAUUAUAUUCUUCACUAAUCAGUUCACAUACUUAGCAUAAUCAGGCUGUUUUAGGUGACAAUCUACUUCACCACCAUCCCUCUCUACAUCAUCUAUAGGGUCACAUGCAUAAUUUAAAUCAUCCAUCUAGGAAAAAAUCAAAGUCAGAGUCAUAUUCAACUUCCCUACAACCAUCCCUAUCACCUUCCUGUGAAGCAUCUGAAGCAUCACUUUCGGCCUCAUCAUUUUGGGGUUGUUCAGCAUUAGAUUUAGAUUUUGUUCACCAUUAACCUCAAUAUUAUCCUCUACAACAGUUCCAUCAGCAUGCAAAUCUUCUUCAGGGAUCUCACCAACAUAAAGUUGUAUGAUGCUUUGAGUUCUAUUUGCUCAAACAUUUCUAGAAUUAUCUGGUCACUGUUUAACAGUUUAAGACCAACCUGAAGGUCAAGAUUCCUAACCCUAUAGUACACCUCUGUUUCAUGUGAAAUUCCAGCUUCUUUAAAAGCAUCUCUUAACUCAAAAAUUGACAUCAAAUCAGGGUCAACAUCAUCAAAAUUAGCAACUUCUCCCCCCACAUACUGUAAAUUUGGGACAUGGGCAAAAUGGCCUCCGUAGUGAACCUCUAAAACAUAGGUUUUAAAAUCCAUUCUUCUGUAAUCACACAAAGGCAACUUUUUUAGUGCAUGCACAGGUAAUACAGAGCAGGCAUCUUUUAUUGUCCCACAAAAAUAAAAAAUCCUAGUUUGUCUAUGUAACAGCCGACAUAUAACCAUCCAAAGUAAACAAAGAAUCCAGCAAAUUAAUAAUUAAAAAGACAAAAGUUGCUAAAAAUCCAUCGUUUUCAUCCUAACCCGAUAAUGACUUGUUAUGAACUUCAAGGGAUCACACCAACAGAUUUCAAACAAAUAAUUGUCUACACAUUAAAGCCCAUGCAGCCAUUAAAAAAACCCAUACCGUUGUUUCUGUGCAAUACAAUUGAUUAAAAUUAGAAAUUUCUAAAAUCGAGAAAAAAUUGUAAAAUCUAACCUUAAGGGCGCCCAAGCUCUCAGAAUCUCCUUUCACAAUCUUCAAAUUCAAUUCUGCCGUCUGCUAACAACUUCAUCGAUUGCCCGUUUUUUAUUCAAGAUGCUGGUGAAUUUUCAAGUUUUUUAAUGGAGGUUUUGCUGAGGCUUCGGGCACAAGUGAAGAGAAAGUGACCGACAAUGGCAAAAAGGAAGAGAAAGUGACCCACAAUAACAAAAAGGAACCUUUUGUCUGUUCUUGUCUUCCUAAUUUCUUUUUCUUUUUCUUCCCGUGCCAGAAGGAGGGAAAUUUCCCUCCAUUAUUCCAGGUAAUUUUGGAAACUUGCAUUUCAUAAACCAACAUAUAUGGGCAUUUUGGGUUGUGCAAUAUUUUCAUAAGGAUAUUAUUGUCUUUUCAAUAUUCUGUUUAUGUCCAUUAGAGUUGACCGUUAGUUUUUGGGUAGACUGAUGAAAAACAAAUGUUGGGGGGUAAAGUGAGAAAUGACCUAUACUUAAAAGGGGAUAAAGUGCGAUUAACCCUUUUAACAAUAACUCGAUAAUAUCAACCAUUGCAAUAGCACUUUAAUUUGGUUUUUCAGCCUUUACUUAUUGAUCAAUCAAAAAAGGCUUGGCUACGUAAUCGACCACUUCUCUUUUAUACCAUUCCACCGAAAACCUUUGUAAAAGAUCCACACAACUUCGAAUGCUUCAUUAACCUCAUUUCUUGACAAAAACUCCUUUGAGUUUGCAUAUUGUUCUAGUGCUUUUGAAAGUCAUUUUGUUAUCCUUUCUUCAUUUUUUUAUUUUUAACAAUUAGCGAUCUUCUCUCAAUCCCCUAAAAAUAGAGAGCAAAUCACAAAUUACGUCAUUGCAAUUUCCAAGCAAAUAUUUCUAAUUUAUCUAAGGAAAGAUCUCAACACCUAAUAGCACUCAAAUCACUAUAUUUUUCCAAUGUAUCGUGAAAACAAAAUUAAAUACAUAUCAUUUUUAUUAAAAAAAAAGAGCUUUAGUUUUUCCAAACUUUUAAUUUUUGAUAGUCAAGAACCAAAAUCGAGCAAUACAACCUAAGUUUGAAAUGGUUUAGUUAGUUUAAAACAAUAAACCAUAUCUAAUUAACUGACACAAUUUGAUUGUAUUAAAAUUGUUUUUGUUUGAUUUUUCAGUCAAUUUUUUGAUGAAUUGUCAACAGUAAUAAGACACUGAUAGUAAAAUUGAACGAAAAUUGCACAUAUUUUAGUCAAAUUCAACGUAUUUUGGUAUUGUUAGUAUUCCUCUUUGUCCCAAAAAAGUCUAAAUAAUACUUUUUUUUCUGUGACACAGUAGUUUUAGUUGAGCAAAAAUGUGAACUUGGCUAGAAUUUUUGUUUUUUCAAAAGAAAAAUUCUCUAGUAAUGAAAGGUAACAAUAAAAAAAAGUAAGAAAAAAGUGAAAGGAAAAGGACAAUGACCAAAAAAAAAAAAGAACAGACAGGAAAUUAAACAAUAUUGAAAUGCCGUUAGUGUCUCAUUUUAAAAUUGCCAUAGCUCUUUGUCAAAGGAGGUUUAAUCGUGAAAUUCGCAUUAUUUGCUUCUAAAACCAAUGAACCCGGAAAUUUGCAAUUCCGCCCAGAUGUAAAUCUAAGUCCUACUUGGGGUCACCGGCACACCAAGGAAGAUCAGAUCACUCACCUCACCCUACCUGGGCGGGACUUGGAGAUGACGGGGUUGGUACCGACCCUAUCUUCAAGAAUUUCUUGGCGCCUAAACCUACUUCACAAAACCACUCAAUACGUAACAAUUAGAGCCUUCAAAGCUUUGAGAAUUCCAAGCAGACCUGUAUUGCCACCUCUCUCCUCUGCUUUUCCACUCAAUUCUAGUCCACCCCGUUUAGUUUCCUCGUAUUCCAAUAAAUCAGCAGCAGUCCAAAUGCAAAACCCAUUAUCCUCAGAUGAUAAUUUAGUCAUUUUGGGCAUUGAAACCAGCUGUGACGAUACUGCGGCUGCUGUUGUAGGUUAUGAUAUCUUUUCGCUCUUUUGUAUGGUGCAACAUUUUUUGAAGGGGGUUCUGUAUGUUUACAGAAUAAAUAACAUGUUUUUUGUUUAUUGGGAUUUUCAGGUUCGAAGCAGUGGUGAGAUUCUGAGCCAAGUUGUGUCUUCUCAGGUAUUGUCUUAUAGGUUUGUGUAAGUAAAAGUAAUAGGCUUUUGCUUAUGUGCAUUAGUUCAAUUGACGCGCUUGUGAUUGAGAAUUAUUGAGAAGCAUGAAAGAUUCUGCUGGCUCUUGCUACUUUCAUAAUAUAAAAAAUGUGAUCUUGUUUAGCGGGAAUAAAACUUUGAUGGUAGCUGAUCUUAGUACAAGUACAUAUAUCUGUUCUUACUGUAAAUGUAUUGUUAUUCUUGAUAGUUGUUAUACUCUAAGCUUCGUAUAGAUCUUGACAUUUUGUUGUGCUUAACAUGUCAAGAUACAAAGUACUAUAAGUUAGCUUUUGUAAUAAUAAAAUUUAAUCUUAAUUCAUGAAAGCUGGGUUAUAAACUUAGUGCAGGUUUAUACUAUAAUCAAGUUGCUGUCACUAUUGUCUAUGUACAUUACUCCCCAAAUAGUAGAAACAAAUUUUCUGUGUGUUCUUUAUACUAAAAUUCCCAAGCAAUACAACCAUCCUUUGUUUUUGCAACUGUGGUAUCUGUUGUAUUGAAUAUGAAUUCUAAUGAUAUGAAGGCGGAUCUGCUUGCUCGCUAUGGGGGGGUUGCACCUAAAAUGGCUGAACAAGCACAUGCACAAGUAAUUGAUCAGGUACAGAAUCUAGACAUGAGUAUGCUGCCUAUGAUUUUUAAUCCUUCUCUGUGUUUUUUGUGUAGUUUAUGAUAUUUGCCAUUUCUGGCUUUCAAACUCUGCUUUUGUGUUUCAUGUAAUAGAAGAACUAAGUUGUUGCUUGAUUUUAUUCGCAGCAAAAAAAAAAAGAAAAAAAAUUAAAAGACAUGUCUUUAACUGGAGUUGCCUUUUUUACUGCUGUCAGCGUUGGCAAUUAUGUUUAUCUUCAGUUUGCUUUUGUUGCAGAACUAUAUCAUCAUUAUUGAUUUGUUUCCUUUUUAGUUCCAUGAUCUACUAGAACAGCUUUCUUGAGAUUGUGGUUGCUUGCUGUAUCUUUCUUACCUUACGCUAUUUUCAUGAUAAUAGUUAAGUGGCUUUGAAUUAGUUUCUGAAUUUCUUAUUUAGGAUUUCCUGCUUCAGUUUUGAAUUUUAAAGAAGAUAUAUCCAUGGCUUAAAGUGUAUUAUCAAAUAAGAGUUGUAACUCUUUCAUUUACUCUUCUUGUUUGUUCUUCCAAGUAUAAUAAUUUAUUUUGCAGGUAGUACAGGAAGCCUUAGAUAAAGCUCAACUGACUGAGAAGGAUCUUACUGCAGUUGCAGUCACUAUUGGUCCUGGUUUAAGCCUUUGUUUGCGUGGUAAUUUUUUUUUUUUUUUUAAAUUUAAAACUCCAGAACUCAACUUGAUUGAAUUUUCUGGAGAUGAUGUGGUUCUAAUUGAUAAACCAUUUGGUUUCCCUAAGCAUUAACCUUAGACCAUAUGAAAUUGUGAAACCCUGUCAGGGAUCAUUGUAUGUUUAAGAUGUCAAAUGACAAUUCUAUCAUGUUAUUUAGAUGUUUGUUUGCCAAAGAGCAACAUGAUAAAAUUCCUUAAACAUCCUUUCUUCAAUUCACAUGUAGUUGGUGUGCAAAAGGCUCGGAAAAUUGCUGGCAGAUUGAAUCUACCCAUAGUGGGGGUGCACCACAUGGAAGCACAUGCCUUAGUAGCUAGGUAAUACAUGUUCAAUUCAUACUCAAAAUCACAUUUUUUAAGAUAUUACUGUAAAUUGUUUUAAAAGCAUAUUAGGAGUGUUACUUUUUUGAAUUCAAUGCCAUGGUUGCCCUUUAGCCAUGUUGCCUUUUUUUCCCCUGAAAUUUUAUCAGAUAGUUGAGUAAAAUACAAUAGCUUUAUGUGUUGUUUGUAAGCCAAUAUAUAAAUUUUGCAUCUUCUUGCUAUUUCCUUUGCUAAAUGGCUUCAGUUUGAUUUUUGGUUGCAUGUUCCUGGAAAAUUUGUGGGUUCUUUUUUUGUUUUGUGGGUUGGGGGGGGGAUCAUUCAUGAUUUCAGCCACUAAUUGAGAAUUCAGUAAUGUAAUGGCUAUGAUUGAUGUGGUAGAAAAGACGAACUAAAUAAACUGAGGAGAAAAUUGUAUUUGGUGGCAAGAUGUGAGCUCUGCAAGAAAAGCUUACAAGAUAGACCUUUGUUUUGACCUUUUCGUUUCCUUCUUUUGUCCAUUUAAGAGACUUCUAUUACUCAAUGUGCUUAAUGAGAUAUGACUUUCAUUUUUCUUGUCUUAUGGUGAGGGAUCAACUUAACUGGUUUGUGAAGAAAUGAGGCAUUGAAAAUCACUUGGAAAUCUACCUGCUACUUAAAAGUACAUUGAUUUAGGUUUUUCUCCAAUUAGUUUGUCUUCCGGUGCCUCAUCUGUAAAGGUGAACAUAAAGAGAUCUGGCCUUAAAGCGUGGAUGGAAUUUGCACUCCAAUUCUAAUAAUAAAUCUGUAGCUAUUACUAUCAAAAAAAUCUUGUAUGCAACUAUGCUCAGUUCGUCGAAAGUUGAAAGAGAAUGAGCUUCAACUUAUCAUGAAAAGUCAUUUGCCUUAUUCAAUUUUUUUCCCCUCUCUAGGUUAGUAGAAAAGAAACUGCAAUUCCCUUUUCUCGCCCUGCUCAUCUCAGGUAUGAUAAAUCACAGCACUCAUUUAAAUUUGUCACAUUUAUUUUCCCAUUUUCAAAUGUGCAUCAAUGCUACAGUACGCACACACUUGAAGAAGAAUUGAGACAGACUAGAGUUCUGCUAAAAAAAAUAGAAAAAGUAAUUAGCUGUGCUGUAGGACCAAUUACCUGGAUUGAAAAUAAGAAAUCUUGAAUUACCAUGCUCCAGAGGGCUCUACAUUAUUCUAACACAUUUCCUGGUACUGUUUUUUGUAAAGUGGCACAUGGGUCUUAGGUGAAAUGAUUUUGGUCAUUUACUGGAUUGAGUCUUGACGACCCUUUUAACUUAGUUACUAUUUAACUUACUAAGUCAAUUUGCUUAGAGGGAAGAAGGGGGGGGGGUUUGGGGGGAAGAACUUAUUAAGUCAAUGCACUUUUAACAUUUUGAUCAUUAGGAGGACACAACCUUUUAGUUCUUGCCCGGGAUCUUGGCCAUUACAUACAACUUGGUACCACAGUUGAUGAUGCAAUUGGGGAGGCAUAUGACAAGACUGCAAAAUGGCUUGGUCUUGAUAUGAGGAGGAGUGGGGGCCUGCAAUUGAGGAGUUAGCUCAUGAGGGAGAUGCAGAAGCAGUCAAAUUCAGAGUAAGUUUGGAGAAAUUUUAUGUCAAGUGUCAUUUGUUUUCUUUUGAAACAGUUUGACCAGAAUUUGAUCUUCAUAUUGAGCUCAGGUUUUGAAGUGGUUGUUUGUUAGGUUCCUAUGAAACAACACAAAGACUGCAACUUCUCAUAUGCAGGGCUAAAGAAUCAAGUGAGGUUGGAAAUCGAAGCACAGAAUAUGUAGGUGCUUUUAGCCUAUGAAAAACAUUGUUUUUCCCAUGAAGAAAUAUUUCUUUAUUGCUGUUGAUAAGAAGGUCACGUCUUGUCCCAGAUUCUUCCUUUUGAAUCUUCUAUUUGGAUAUAAAAUGCUGAAAUAUUAGCUGUGGACUAUAGCAUAUCUGGGAAAAUAUGCAAAAGAUCUAAAAGAAUCUUCUUUUCUAGCUGUGUCAAUCAUGUUGAAUAUGCUUGGAAAAAGUAUUAAUCGUGUAGUUGGAACAAAUUUCUGUCCCUGCAGCUAUUGUUGGUUAACCCAGCAAUCAAUCAUUUCAACAUUUAGAUGUUCAAAGUUCCUCUUCUCUCUCACCUCUGACCUUAUUUUGUUCCUUGGACGUUUGUGCAUGCAGCAAUGCUGAAAUCCCCAUUUCUUCAGCUAGUAGUGAAGAUAGAGGUGCAGGGCAAAUAUUGCUGCCUCUUUCCAGGUGAUAAUGGUCUUGGCUUUUAUUUCAUGAAAAGAAAAUAAAAUCAAGUUUUAACAUAUAGUUCCACAUGUCUGCUUUCUUUAAAUAUAAUAUAACAAUAGUGUUCAAUGAGCAUCUUCUUCUUUAUUGCUUUACUCUUUUUUAAACAUUGGAAGUAUCUUUGUGCAGCGAGUUGCAGUAUUACAUUUAGAGGAAAAAUGCCAACGAGCAAUUGAAUGGGCAUUGAAAAUUGAGCCUUCUGUGAAGUAUUUGGUGCGUGAAAUAAGAUUCCCAAUUGGCUUCCACGCUGUUGUACUCUCGAAUUCUAGACUUCAUGCGCUUUGUUGCUUUAUAUUGCUUUGAAUAUUGUCUCAGAGCAAUUUCUUUAUACUCCCAUCGUAGGUAGCUUCCGGAGGUGUUGCUUCAAACAAGUUUGUCCGCUCUCGCCUUAAUCAGGUAGUGGAAAGGAAUGCCCUGCAACUUUUGUGCCCUCCUCCUAGCCUCUGUACUGAUAAUGGUAAGGUGCUAAGUGUUUUUCCUGCUAAUUCAGUUAACAUUGAGAAAAUGCAAAAGUGAUUAAUUUGCAGAGGUACUUGAUUUUAAUAACUGGCAGUUGAAAAAUACAAACUUCGGACAAAUAACUUGUAGAUAGAUUGUGUGUGGUUUCUGUGGUUCAAGCUCGUGUACUACAACAUUAGGAUGGAUCCAAGUGCUCAUUACAGACAAUACUUUUGCAAUUUAAAAUAAAGUGAAUAGGCUAGUCUCAAUUGAAUAGCUGCAUCGACAUUCAAUUUCUGGUGGUAAUCUGUUAGAUAUCUACCCAUCAUUGAGAACAUAUUUAAUUUGUUUUAGGCCUGGUAGGGGUUCAUUUGCAUAUGUGGAAAAGUUGCCCAAAUCUUGGUGAUGUUAAAUUAUUGGGUUAAAAACAAAAAAGCCCCUGUGAUAUACCUAAUACAUAGAAAAACCCCCAUAGUUUCAAAACAUAUAAAACGACACCUCAUGUUUUGAACUAAAUUGCAAACUAACGGAAUUCGUUAAACUUAAUGGAAUCCGGAAAAUUUAACGGAAAAUUUAACGGAAUUCGGUAAAGUUAACGGUAAACUUAACAGAAUCCGGUAAGUUUAACAGACAAAAUCGUCAUCCGGUAAAGUUAACGGUAAACUUAACAGAAUCCGGUAAGUUGAACAGGCGAAAUCGUCAUUUUCGUUAAGUUUAACAAAUUCUGUUAGUUUACAAUUUAGUUCAAAACAUGAGGUGUCGUUUUGUAUGUUUUGAAACCAUGGGGGCCUUUUCUGUAUAAUAGAUAUACCACAGGGGGUUUUUUUGUUUUAACCCUAAAUUAUUUGAACUCUGAAAAGCUAGUACGUUGGGCCUUGUCUUGAAGAAUAAUGUUGGCUUGUUCUGAAAGGUGUAAUGAUUGCUUGGACCGGCGUGGAACAUUUCCGGGUAGGAAGAUAUGAUCCUCCACCACCUGCCAAUGAACCUGAAGAUGCCCAGGUUUUGUCAUUUUGGUGCUUUCAUUUGGAUUUUAAAGAUUUUUUUGGCUAGAAUUUGUUUGCUUUGGAUGCUAUAUCUCUAAUAGAAGAGUAAGCUCUAUAUUUUUCGUCUUUACUGCCUCUUUUCUCAUAUGAAAGAAGAAGUUGAUUACUUCAUGACUUCUCACUUCAUAUGGGUUUCCAAAACCUAUUAGUUGAUGGAGAAAAAGUUAAGUGGUCGCAUGGAUCAGACUUGCUGCCGUAAUGCUAAUUAGCUUAGUCAAUUUCCAUUUUCUGCUCUCUUGAACUUUGAAUAAGCAAAGAAUUGAGCAAAUGUGUUAUUUCAGGUUUGGUUAACGUGGUUUGUAAAGCGAUCCUCAAAAUUCCUCUAUUUAGUUAAUCUGGACAAAUGAAUUGCAUGUUUAAACGUGAACUGAUUACAAAUUAAGGAAUCAGGCUACCUUAAGUGGAGAUUGGAGGAACUCCAUUUUUGAAAGAAUUAUGUUGGAAAUGUAGCAUCUACAGGUGGUUGGGUUCAUUGCUUUUGUUUUCUUGUGGUCUUAAGGAUUUUCAUUUUGAAAAGUAGCAAGAAUCUAUGCUUCUAUUUUUUUUUGGAUAGUAAUAUGUUGACAUAUGUCAUGCAUGAAACAGCUUGAUUUGCGGCCAAGGUGGCCAUUAGGUGAGGAGUAUGCUGAAGGAAGAAGUGAUGCCCGAUCAAUGAGAAAGGCUCGGAUUCAUCAAUCGCUGACAUCUCUCAUUCAGGCAUCUCUGUUAGAACAGCCAAAGCCCACUGUGUGAAGGUUACUGGUGCUUUCUCAAAUGAAUGAUAUCCUGUCUGAAGCCCUAAUGUUUGAAGGAUAUAGCUUGCAACUCUACACUAAUUCUUACUGUCGCCAGCUGAAUGUUUGCAUCAAGUAGAGUUUUCAAAUUUUAUCAAGAAACUGGCUCUGCGGGGACAGUUCUUAGUAUUCCCUUGUCAAUAUAAAUGUGUGGAUUCACAGAUAUCCUAGAAGAUUUUCUGCUCAAGGAACAUUUUUCUAGAGCACGGCAUAAGUUAUUCAAUGCUCAUUGUGUACAAGUGUUUAAGCAUUUGCCUUGGUAGACUAGAUAGAAUGAACAUAAGCCAAUUUUCUGUUGAGUUAGCUAUUACACUCUUCCUUCUAUCUUUGGAUUGUAGGGGACCUGAAAGGUCUUUCUAAUUAUAGAGCAAUGCUAUGCGGCCACAAAUGUUAGAGAUUCGACAAAAUCUCUUCAACAAUUCGUGCAGUGGAUGAUAUGCUGCAUCAUAUCUGCAAAUUUUCAUUUGCAAAUGUGUAGUUAUACCAAAAAAAAUAUUUGGCUCAAAAAUGCUAGAAAAGGUAAUUGUAAGAUAGAAAUUUAAAUAAUAUGUAUGUGUGUAUACCUUUUAUCUAGUAUCUUUUAAGACCCAAAUAGCUCAUUAGAGAAAAUAUCCUUUUAAGUACGAAUAAAGGAGAUGUCAAGUUUAGCAUGAGUAUUGUAAAAUUAUGGAUUCGGAGCCGGUAAAUGUUUUUGCGCGAUUGUGCAGUUUUGUUUACAUCAUAUGAUAAACAUUAAUACUUGGGUAAAAAGUCCAUUUGGCUCUCAAAUCUUCAACUAUUUUAUAAUUUUAGUCCUCUAACUAUUAUUUGUAUAUUUUUAGCCUAUAAACUAUUAAAAGCAUGUAUUUAUAGUCCUUCCGUAAAUUUGAACCCGAUAAUUCUAACAAAACUAUCUCAAAAAUGAUGUUUUUUUUUUAUAUUCUCCUUUCUCAAAUCAAAUUACAUGUCGAUUAUGAUGGGGAUACAACAUCAUAAUGGAUAGCCCCAUAGAUUGGGUGAAUUCAUCAGUACACAUUAAAAAAUGCUCAAACUUAAAUGCAUGGAACUGAUAUUAAAGUCGGAAGUCCAUCCAGCCAACUGUGAUUAAAACUAGUUCAACUCUCUAAAACACUGAGCCGAUGAGAGAGGAAUAACUUAAAUGUCCAACUGUGGCAACAUCCUUUCAAAUCACAACUAGAAAAAAUGAAAAAAAAUGGAUGAAACUCUUCUAUGGUACAGUGGCACAACCACACUAAAAAUUUCCAAACUCAUACUAAUUAAAUGCCAAGGAAACACUUGCCCUUCCAAGGCAGUCGAGCUGGUCUCACUAAGGGUUAGUACACCCGAGAUCCAGUGUUCGAGCCUUGUCACAAAAAUGGGGAAUAAUCUAACAACCCGAAUAAGGGUUGGGGCUUGAAGUGGGACCAGGUCCUUUUUUUGACAAAAAAAAAAUGCCAAGGUAACACUCAAAUGUCUACUAGGGGACAUAAACACAAAUAAGAUGCGAGCUGAUAAGGUAAAACGAAUACCGUGAGCGUCUAUACUGGGGAUAGGAACCCCCGGUGUCUCACAAACGCAAGACGAUCAAUAUCUGUCUUGCAGGUGAACCAAAUGGCCCGCUCUGAAGGGUCCUUUAAUGCAUCAGCAACCCUCAGGCGCGCAUUAAUGUCCAGGUUUAGAGCGCAGAGCUUGGCCAAGGCAGCUUUUAACUCGGCAUAAGCAUCGAAAGGAGGAUGUGCAGUCUUCGAUGGUGAAGAGACUGAACCACUCAUGCUACUGCUAUUUUUGCAACUCAAAUGGGUCUCAAGACUGUCUAGAACACGGAAGUACUGCUGGAAUUGGGGGGAUGAACCAGAGAAGAAUGAAUCGGUCGACAUAUCGCCCGAUUUGCGCUUUCUUUUGCCUUUCUUCACCUUUCCUUUCCCUUUCCGAGUCGUCGGCACUUCAACUUCUUCAUCUGAUGAACUGACGUCUACAGCAGUCUUUCCUCUACCACGUCUAGCAGCAUUUUCCAUUUCCAACUCGUCUUCCGAGUUGGGGGGUGAUAGUCCAUGUUCAGCGCUAAGGUCCCCAGUAGCUCCCUGAUUCAUGAACACUUCUUCAAGCAAAUAGAAGACAAGACAUGAUCUGUCAUAAAAUCUUCCAUAGCCCUUGUUCACCUACAAAAAAGAAACGUAUUUUAAUUAAUGAAGCAUGGCACUCCAAAAAAGGUUGCGAGGCUUCAUUUCAAAUAUUUCCAAAUACCACCUAGCGAUUUACCAUUUUAAAAGGAUAACCGCAUAUGAGAAGGGGGUCUUUAAAAUGAACAGAUUUUGAAAAGCAAAAAAAUAGUAGAGAAGGUUACCCUACCUGAAGUAGAUGCCUCCACCGGUCAUCGUCCAUCAUAAAAGUAUAGUUGGUAGAGUCCCAACCCAUACCAGUGCCUCGUCUCUUAAAUGAAAUAUACAGCCUGGUCAAGUUCUGAAGGGCAUAGUAUUUCGACUGAAUAGUGUUGCGGGGGAAUGAAGUGCCAAAAGUUUCAUUAAGCAUCCUAGUAAUCUCGGGAUGACACGACUCCCGAUGUUAUGAGACGAUAUUUCUCCAUUCCUAUGCAUAUUGACAAGAUGUUGGGCAAAUGCAAUUUCAUGUUCUGGGGUGAAAGUGUUAUGUUCCGAGUACUUCACUCGCGUCGACUCAUCUUUUUUUCCUUUAGGGCGGCAAAACCAGAAAUACAGACAGUGGAAAAAAAAAAAAACUUCGGGUGAACCUGAAUUGAUCUAUAUGAUGAUAUAAGGCAAUCGAACCACCCAAUUAAGUAUAGGAUCUGCCAAAGUAACUCACCCUGAAGUAGUUAGUGAGGCAUAGUUGCAAAUCGUUUUCUCCUUGCGCCGACUUCGAAGAACAAGUGCUUAAUCCCUACUUCUUUGAAAAGCUGUGAACAAGUUGUCAAAACUAUGAUCAAUUACUUAUGCUCAACAUUGGAAAAAUUAGACAAGAAGCAAUUACUCCAUACCCUUCCAAGCACGCCGAGUCACAGGGGGCAUGUAGUUGCACAAGGCUUGUACAAAUGAUCACCUAAAUCUGGAGCUGCCCUAAAAAGUUGGGACACUUUUAGUGCAAGCAGAUGCAAACUGUCCCUAUAGACAAAAUGGCCAAGCGAGGCAUACAAUGUAUGAAGACUCUACCUCCAACAACUGCUUAUGUUUGGAAUGUCAAAUAAAAGAAAAAUAGAUCAUCAAAGCUAGCUGCCCAAGCUUGUAUGACACUCAACAGUUUGAAAGGCUGCGUUGUAGGCAAAAAACUGAAGGGGAUUUUAUCCAUUACAAAACGCGAAAGGCGAGAGAGAACCAAAAAACUGCUGAAGCUUGAGGCAGAAAAAAGAUUUAUUGACCCUUGAUAAAGAACACUUAUACAGCAACAGCAUGAAGUCUAAUCAUCUAAGCAUCCAAACAUAUAACGCAUUCAGAUGUACUGAUGAACCAUUGUUAAAAGCAGUUAGAGCGCCAUUAACGACUACUUUAACUCAGCAAAAUCAAUCAAGACUUCCUUGUUUUUAAAAAAUGCGCAACAACAACUCAGUUUAAUGGUUCCUUGUUAAACCAUAUGCCUAUAACCGGCAGCAGGCAGAACAUGAGGUGAAGAUUCAAAAAUAGAGGGCAAAACCUGAAACAGUUGUGAGCCAAUAACAUAACCCAAUAAACAGAGGACCAGACACAACACUUGCAGAGCUAACAUACAGGGGAACAGCAUGCCUGAAGUGCAAUUACAGCAGACCAAAAGUUGCAGGCUUAACAACUGCUGUUUUUUCCAGGUUACGUGUCAGUUCAUGUAACUCAAGGUUAGUUAGCGUAGCCAUUUCUUUUCCAUUCGCGCACAAACUGUCCAUUACCAGGUUCUUCUUUUAAAACACAACACUUCAUAGCCGAGAUUCAUUAACACUUUAAGCAUGAACCACGAAACACUUCAUUUAUAAUUUCAAAUAAGAAGAGCUGGAGAAAACAAAUUAGAUGAAGUGGAAACAAACCUACAGGCCUAAAAAUUCAGGAUAGCAACAGAAAGAACCGUUUACAUAGUUACAAGACUACUUGAAUCACCAAGGUCAAAUAGAAGCAAUGCCAUCAAACACACUAUUAGAUAGAACACAGCUUCAACUUUGCAAUAAAAAAGCACAUAAAUCUCUUUCACUUUUAGCUAAUGCAGGCCUAAUGUGCAAGUUUUAAAAUGUUAUUAACAUACCUAAGGAUUUUCAAUAGAAAAAUCACAAUCUGGGAGAAUUAAUGACGAGGGGAUUAAUAACAACAGUCACCACCUGUCUGGACAACUUCAGCGUCCAAAAUUCUUCCAAAUUCCUGCAACACUCAGAAUUGCUGGCUAGCAGACACAUGAGAAAGCAAAACUAUGUAGAGAAAUUUCAUUUGGCUUCUGCAACAGAAGAAAAAGUACUCUUCCACAUGCCUGACUACUAAAAAGAAACGAGCAACAUACAAUAUUAACUAACUUCCAAACC
rnacentral:lncRNA from 1 species